GGCCCCCCUGUAAUAAUGUAGUGUAUACUGAAGACUUUUAUGUAUUUUGCAUAGGUAUAGGACUGAGUGAAAUGCUUAGACAGUAUCUGAGAUGUUAGUUAUUUUUAGCUGUCCUAGUGUAGUUAUUUAGAAUUAAAACUUUCUUGUUGCUGUCACUGUGGUCUGCUAUCCUGCAGCUGUUCUGCAUCCCCUGUGAAGGCAGAGAGGGGCUGGUAGUCACCAUGUUCUCCCAUUUGGUGGGCUGCAGUCAGGAAAAAGUGGAGCCUGCUCUACCUAAUGACCUACAAAACCCUCCCCUGUUCAUGACAAAAUCUAAACCUGUGCUUCAGUACUUCUGGUUGCAUGGCCAAGGAAGGUCCUCUUGGAGCUGUUCUUUUCCAUGUGUUGUGACUGCAUCACCAACAACUCCUCUCAAGGUUCCAGAGCUACACUCCUACAGAAAUGAUGUCCCUUGAGUGCAAGUCAGCCUCCCCAGAACCCUUGGCAGCUCUGCAGAAGCAUCAGAUCUUGUUACGUUACUUUGGCAGUACAGAGGUCUCAAGCCCUUUCAGAAGGGCAAUGAGGGCCUACUGGAUACUAAAGGUGUCUAUCAUCAGAGGAAAGCAGAAGUGACUUUAUACCUAGAAUGUGCAGAGAUCAAACAAGAUGAGUGUUGCAGUAAAACAAUAAAGGCAUGUGUGUGCUUGUGUGUGAAUUCAUCCUGUUUAAGGGAACAGUAGGGUUUCCUGUAGAAAGUGCUGGUGCCAGCAGGAACUUGCAUGGCUAUUUCAGGGCAGUGGUUAUUCAAACACCAACAAGACUUCACACUUGGUCUGAGAUACUAAAUUUCAUCAGUCACCCUGCAACUGCAUGGUACUUCACUGGCAAUUUGGAGCUGAAGAGGUCACUCGUUUAUAAUCACUCUAUUCAGAAGGGUAGAUGAGCCUGUUGUUACAAGUUCAUCCCAGAAGUCACAGGGAUGUACUGUAGCUUUUCAGCUCUGCCAGGAAGCAGGUUGCUAGUACUCCCACUCUAAAAAUGAGGGCUGCCUGGCUUUCUAUGCCCAGAACCAGCUUGUGUGGUGUCCCACUUUGCGUAAAGACCAGAGGUCAGGUUCUACAGCUCUCCUGAACACUUCUACAGUGUUGUUGAACUCAACAAGAUCAAAUGCUUAGAGCAGAGUUUAGUCCUAAAUAGGCAAAAGAUUUAAAUAUUUGAGAGGUAAGGACAAGAGAGGGAUUUCUGAAAAGUAACAAAAGGUUGUGAAAUUGCUCAGGGAUUAAGUUGUUUGAAUCAUUGUUCCAGCUCUAUUAAAAAAAGGUAUAAAUUCAUUUCAAUUCUUAGUGGAUUUCAAGCUGCCAAUUUCUGAGCUUUCACAGCCUUUGAUGUGAUUCCAGCUUUCUAUGAUGUAAGUGGAUUAUUUUUUCCUUAAUUCUGAAGAGGCCAUUUUCUCUCCCAGCCCCCUCCAGAAAAACAUUGCAGCAAUCAGGCUAACUAAACACUGAUUUUGGUUCAUUGUGGGUAUUAAUCCACUUUGCAGUGCUGUGUUUUUUUUUUUUUUUUUGUAUACACCUUUCGAGCAUUGAGUGGAAGAUGAAGAUACCAGUGUUAAAUGGCUAUUUUAAAUAACAAUGAUCUUAAAACACACAAUGGGCUGUGCAUUCCAGUUCCAAGUUGCAUACAUAAAGAACAGUUAAUCCAUCCUUUAAAUACAGCCAAGUUUGGGGUGGAAUAU